rnacentral:rRNA from 1 species
ACCUGGUUGAUCCUGCCAGUAGCAUAUGCUUGACUUGGAGAUUAAGCCAUGCAUGUCUAAGUAUAAGUAUUAUAUUGCGAAACUGCGAAUGGCUCAUUAAAACAGUUAUAAUUUAUUUGAUGAUAUUUUUACAUGGAUAACCGUGGGAAACUGGGGCUAAUACAUGCACAUAAGCCGAAAGGCCGUCUUUAUUAGUUUAAAUCACUAGUUCUUGUGAGGAAUCAUAAUAACUCAUCGAAGCGCGCCACCGCGCUACACCAUUCAAGUUUCUGCCCUAUCAGCUUUCGAUGGUAUUGUAUUGGACUACCAUGGCAAUAACGGGUAACGGAGAAUUGGGGUUCGAUUCCGGAGAGGGAGCCUGAGAAACGGCUACCAUUUCUAAGGAAGGCAGCAGGCGCGUAAAUUACCCAAUCCUGAUUAAGGGAGGUAGUUAAUGGAAAUAAUGCGUUCGGCUCUAUGAGCUUCGAACAUGUAAUGAGACGAAUUUAAUUCACUUAUUGAAACCUAUUAGAGGGCAAGUCUGGUGCCAGCAGCCGCGGUAAUUCCAGCUCUAAUAGCGUAUAUUAACGUUGUUGCAGUUAAAAAGCUCGUAGUUGAAAGUCCGGCGAUUUUUCGCCUGUCUGGGAGGCUCAUGGAUAAUGUAAAAAUUUUCUAUGAUUUGAUCAGACUUUUACUGUGAACAAAAUAGAGUGCUCAAAGCAGGCUAUAGCUUGAAUAUCUUAGCAUGGAAUAAUAAAAAAUGACUUUAUUCAUUUUAUUGGUUAUUGGAUGAAGUAAUGGUUAACAGGAACAGUUGGGGGCAUUUGUAUUUAAUAGUCAGAGGUGAAAUUCAUAGAUUUAUUAAAGACAAACUAAUGCGAAAGCAUUUGCCAAGGAUGUUUUCAUUAAUCAAGAACGAAAGUUAGGGGAUCGAAGACGAUCAGAUACCGUCGUAGUCCUAACCAUAAACUAUACCGACUAGGGAUUGGCAGGCAACACUCCUGUCAGCACCUAAUGAGAAAUCAAGUCUUUGGGUUCUGGGGGGAGUAUGUUCGCAGCCUGGAACCUUUAA